AAAUUGAAGAGUUUGAUCAUGGCUCAGAUUGAACGCUGGCGGCAGGCCUAACACAUGCAAGUCGAACGGUAACAGGAAGCAGCUUGCUGCUUUGCUGACGAGUGGCGGACGGGUGAGUAAUGUCUGGGAAACUGCCUGAUGGAGGGGGAUAACUACUGGAAACGGUGGCUAAUACCGCAUAAUGUCGCAAGACCAAAGAGGGGGACCUUCGGGCCUCUUGCCAUCAGAUGUGCCCAGAUGGGAUUAGCUUGU
rnacentral:rRNA from 1 species